rnacentral:rRNA from 1 species
GUGGGGAAUAUUGGGCAAUGGGCGCAAGCCUGACCCAGCAACGCCGCGUGAAGGAAGAAGGCUUUCGGGUUGUAAACUUCUUUUGACAGGGAAGAGUAGAAGACGGUACCUGUCGAAUAAGCCACGGCUAACUACGUGCCAGCAGCCGCGGUAAUACGUAGGUGGCAAGCGUUGUCCGGAUUUACUGGGUGUAAAGGGCGUGUAGCCGGGUUGACAAGUCAGAUGUGAAAUCCUGCGGCUUAACCGCAGAACUGCAUUUGAAACUGUUGAUCUUGAGUACUGGAGAGGCAGACGGAAUUCCUAGUGUAGCGGUGAAAUGCGUAGAUAUUAGGAGGAACACCAGUGGCGAAGGCGGUCUGCUGGACAGCAACUGACGGUGAGGCGCGAAAGCGUGGGGAGCAAACAGG